UGAGGAAUAUUGGUCAAUGGGCGAAAGCCUGAACCAGCCAUCCCGCGUGCAGGAAGACGGCCCUAUGGGUUGUAAACUGCUUUUCCAGGGGGAGAAUUUUUCUGUCGUGACAGGAAUUGACGGUACCCUAGGAAUAAGCAUCGGCUAACUCCGUGCCAGCAGCCGCGGUAAUACGGAGGAUGCGAGCGUUAUCCGGAUUUAGUGGGUUUAAAGGGUGCGUAGGCGGAUAGAUAAGUCAGUGGUGAAAACCUGCAGCUUAACUGUAGACUUGCCGUUGAUACUGUCAGUCUGGAGUAUGGUCAAGGUAGGCGGAAUGUGUAAUGUAGCGGUGAAAUGCUUAGAUAUUACACAGAACACCGAUUGCGAAGGCAGCUUACUGGGCCAUUACUGACGCUGAUGCACGAAAGCGUGGGGAUCGAACA
rnacentral:rRNA from 1 species